rnacentral:rRNA from 2 species
CGCGACCCCAGGUCAGGCGGGGUUACCCG